GCCGCGGUAAUACGUAGGGUGCGAGCGUUAAUCGGAAUUACUGGGCGUAAAGCGUGCGCAGGCGGUUCGUUGUGUCGGCGGUGAAAUCCCCGGGCUCAACCUGGGAAUGGCAUUGGUGACUGCACGGCUAGAGUGUGUCAGAGGGGGGUAGAAUUCCACGUGUAGCAGUGAAAUGCGUAGAGAUGUGGAGGAAUACCGAUGGCGAAGGCAGCCCCCUGGGAUAACACUGACGCUCAGGCACGAAAGCGUGGGGAGCAAACAG
rnacentral:rRNA from 1 species